AUUGAACGCUGGCGGCAUGCCUUACACAUGCAAGUCGAACGGCAGCGGACCUUCGGGUGCCGGCGAGUGGCGAACGGGUGAGUAAAGUAUCGGAACGUACCUUUCAGUGGGGGAUAACGUAGCGAAAGUUACGCUAAUACCGCAUAUUCUCUGAGGAGGAAAGCAGGGGGCCUUCGGGCCUUGCGCUGAUGGAGCGGCCGAUAUCAGAUUAGCUAGUUGGUGGGGUAAAGGCCUACCAAGGCGACGAUCUGUAGCGGGUCUGAGAGGAUGAUCCGCCACACUGGGACUGAGACACGGCCCAGACUCCUACGGGAGGCAGCAGUGGGGAAUGUUGGACAAUGGGCGAAAGCCUGAUCCAGCCAUGCCGCGUGAGUGAAGAAGGCCUUCGGGUUGUAAAGCUCUUUCGGCCGGGAAGAAAUCGCGUGGGCUAAUACCCUGCAUGGAUGACGGUACCGGAAUAAGAAGCACCGGCUAACUACGUGCCAGCAGCCGCCGUAAUAC
rnacentral:rRNA from 1 species